rnacentral:rRNA from 1 species
GUACGGGAGGCAGCAGUGAGGAAUUUUGCGCAAUAGGGGAAACCCUGACGCAGCAACGCCGCGUGAGUGAAGAAGGCCUUCGGGUCGUAAAGCUCUGUCAAGUGGGAAAAAAUUCAACCGGUGAAUAGCCGGUUGGACUGAUGGUACCACUAGAGGAAGCACCGGCUAACUCCGUGCCAGCAGCCGCGGUAAUACGGAGGGUGCAAGCGUUGUUCGGAAUUACUGGGCGUAAAGCGCGUGUAGGCGGUUUGGUAAGUCAGAUGUGAAAGCCCUGAGCUCAACUCAGGAAGUGCAUUUGAAACUGCCAUACUCGAGUAUGGGAGAGGAGAGUGGAAUUCCCAGUGUAGAGGUGAAAUUCGUAGAUAUUGGGAGGAACACCCGUGGCGAAGGCGACUCUCUGGACCAAUACUGACGCUGAGACGCGAAAGCGUGGGGAGCAAACAGGAUUAGAUACCCUGGU